CAGUAGCCGCGGUAAUACCGAGGGUGCAAGCGUUAAUCGGAAUUACUGGGCGUAAAGCGUGCGUAGACGGUUACAUAAGUCGGGUGUGAAAGCCCCGGGCUCAACCUGGGAAUUGCAUUCGAGACUGCGUAGCUAGGGUACGGAAGAGGGAGGCGGAAUCUCAGGUGUAGCGGUGAAAUGCGUAGAUAUCUGAAGGAACACCAGUGGCGAAAGCGGCCUCCUGGUCCAGUACCGACGUUCAGGCACGAAAGCGUGGGGAGCAAACAGGAUUAGAUACCCCAGUAGUCCCUGUCUCUUAUAC
rnacentral:rRNA from 1 species